rnacentral:rRNA from 1 species
UACGAAGGGGACUAGCGUUGUUCGGAAUUACUGGGCGUAAAGCGCACGUAGGCGGAUUUGUAAGUCAGGGGUGAAAUCCCGGGGCUCAACCUCGGAACUGCCUUUGAUACUGCAAGUCCCGAGUCCGAUAGAGGUGGGUGGAAUUCCUAGUGUAGAGGUGAAAUUCGUAGAUAUUAGGAAGAACACCGGUGGCGAAGGCGGCCCACUGGAUCGGUACUGACGCUGAGGUGCGAAAGCGUGGGGAGCAAACAGG